rnacentral:rRNA from 1 species
UACAGAGGUCUCAAGCGUUGUUCGGAUUCAUUGGGCGUAAAGGGCGCGUAGGCUGCGGGGCAAGUCGGGUGUGAAAUCUCAGAGCUCAACUCUGAAACUGCACUCGAUACUGCUUUGCUCGAGGACUGGAGAGGAGAUUGGAAUUCACGGUGUAGCAGUGAAAUGCGCAGAUAUCAGGAGGAACACCGGUGGCGAAGGCGGGUCUCUGGGCCGUAACUGACGCUGAGGAGCGAAAGCGUGGGGAGCGAACAGG